GUCACUAUAUAUAUAUAAAUCCGAAGCCCUAGCAUCCGGAACGUCGUCGAUCUCGUCACCCGCCUCGUUCGCCAGACCAUUGUUGUUCUUUGGUGGAUCGAUUAGCAGUUCUUCAACAUGAGGGCUAAGUGGAAGAAGAAGAGAAUGAGGAGAUUGAAGAGGAAGCGCCGAAAGAUGAGGCAGAGAUCCAAGUAGUUUUGUGUUUUCUUUAAAUAAAAAAGAGAAUCGUUCUUUUAGUUGUUACUGAUCUAGGACGAGUAAUAGUUGAAUUUCUUGUGUUUUUGUUGGAUUUUUAUCGCUUUUUUUUUUUUAGUUUCAAUGAGUAAUUUUGUUUGACUUACUUCCCACUGGGAUCUACAUUAUUGAAUUGAGUCUGGAGUUUUUGAAA